rnacentral:lncRNA from 1 species
GUGCUGAAAUGUUCCUCAGGAAAUUCUUUGAAUGUCUUUCUUUAUUGUGAAACUCGCCAAGCCUCUGUGCCUUUAAAUGAUUUCUGUGUUGUUCAUCUCUUCCUUUUUUUCGUUUUCUUUCCCUCUCCGAGCAUUUCCUGUGGGCCUCCUGGCUGCUGCUUCCUUUAGCCUCUCCGUCCUGCUCUGACUUCUCCUUUCUCCAGUCCCUCCCAGCUGGCAGCCCUUCAGAGCCGUAUCCCACAUUUUGCAGUCUGUUGGCCAAGCAUGGCCCCUCAUCUAUAAGGAUGACUCAAGUCCUGCUGCAGUAUCACCAGGAACACUCCUUGUCCCUUGUGCAAAAGAGUGAUUUUCUACUGAAGGAAAACAUAAAAAAAACACUGAAAGACCCAAAGCACAAAAACAAAAGAGGGCGCGAAGGAAUGUAAGAGGAAACAUGUGGCAAUGCACGAUGGGCUUUGAUGCAAAGUUUCUAUUUUUGAAGACACUUAAUAUAGUCCUUAAAAAAAGAAGAAAAAAAGGAAGAAAAAAAAGAAAGAAAAAAAAGUCCUCAUCCUUGCUGUCCUUAAGGACAUCCUGAUUUCACGGGCAGCUGAGCAGGGUGGUCCUCUGAUACCCAACAAUGGCAUUUCACUACCAGAUCCCAGAUAUAUCCUGUUACAGCUGGGAUCAGUCUGUCCCUGAGCAAAACUCUGUCUGCCUAUGCUACAGAACAUGUUUCCUUCUCCAGAGAAAAGGCAACCGAAGCAAAGGUUUCUUGCCAGCAGGAGAGCAGUAUUUUUAGGAAUUUGGAAUCAUGAUUGUAGGAGCUGAAGGAAGUUAAGCCAUACCAGCAUGAGUCCACGCAGGAGCGUAUCAGUUAAAUAACUGGUAAGUACAUGCAGAGAGAUCAAAGUCUCUUUCUCACAUGAAUAAUCAUGAUUCACACGGCUGGGAGGUGCAAAUAAAUGAUUCUACUAGCUAGCUAUCACUUGUUAGGUAGAAAGAAAGCAUUCUUUUACACUUAAAUUAAGGUGUCCCCUUUGUUCCACCAAUGUUUAAAGCACUACCCCGUAGCAAUCCAAUGACAGGUGAAGUAGGAAGAGGAACAACGUGUUCUUGACAGAACAAAUAAGUCACAGUUCCCUCCGACCGUCAGAAAGGGAAGUAAGCACAGCUGGAAUCACAAACAGAACCAGGGGAAAUCACCGCUGCGUUUCCACCUCCCCC